AAGGGGUUAGUUAAAAACAUAACACUAGAAUGUCAAACUAGAGUCACUUAUAUUAGUAUUCCUUU
rnacentral:tRNA from 1 species